rnacentral:lncRNA from 1 species
CCUGAAACCUAGACGGAGACGUGCGAGAAACAGAUUUUGAACAUGAAAAGAGCAGCUGUGUUGGCUGAUACAGCCCUCUAUCCCCAGGCUGCCACCUCUCCCCUCUCCAACGGCCUUUACUUAACGGAACCUGGUUGCAGAGGCAGCUGGCUGAGCAUGUCUGCUCCUGCUGAAAUCUCACCACAGAUGCGGCUGCUUCAUAAUGACUAUAAUCAGAGCAAGAUGUUGACAGCAGGAUCGUUUGUUUUUGGAUGUCAGGAUAUACAUCCAAGUGAAAACACGGAGACAGGGACAAAAAUACUGGGAGACAGAGGAGGAAGAUGAGACAAAAUCAUUGAAAGUAGUAACAUGUAUGACAUUAAAUUUAGCCCUUUGGUGGAAAAUAUGUUAUAUUCCAGCUGUCAAACUUUCAUGAAUAUGUCCUGAAAUGAAAGGGGUAAAAAUCCCUCAAUGAAUCAAGAUGGUAAAAUCCAAAUUCCCAGAACAUCCACCUUAUUUCCAGUGGUACAUUGAUUUUGUGCCCUCAAUACACAGAUAUUUGUGUUUCCCAUUCAUAUAAGUCACAGAAUCACCUUUCUUGUCCAAGUAAAUUUAGGGAGUACCCUUCAUUCAGUACUCAUUUUAUCCCACCCUCCAAAUCUAAUCAAGGAUUUCCAUCCUGCUUAAUAAUUCCACAAUCAUCAAACUCUUGGCUGACAUACUGUGCACCAACAGCAACAACUCUCAGUUAAUACCCACUCCCUUCCAGAAGUGUUAUCCUUGAGUUUUUCUCAGGAAGCACAGUACAAGAUGUAUAGAGAAUAGUGAGUGCAGAGUUUUUUAAUGAUACAUACAAUUUGUAAUCGUUUAUAAGUAUUAUAAAGAUAGUAUUGAAAGAUAGAAAGACAAGCCAGUCAUAUUUUUUGUCAUAAUAUCCAGUGUUAAAUUUCAUGUAGAAUCAUUCAUUGUGGAUAUGAAGAUGGAAAUUAGAUGCUUGCAUACCCUGAAGUGUAUAUUUCACCAAACAAUUUUCUGGUAAACAAUCAAAAGUGCACUGUGCGCGUUCCUCAGAUCUUACCAAUGUCUUGGGAAUAUUUAAAACCUUUCAAAUUGGAUAUGAUUACAUAAUUCAUAUCCUUGUACCCUAGAUCUGUCUGACGAUCACCCCCUACUCGCCACUGUUGUAACUAUUGCACUCAUGGCUUCCCACAAUGCUUUGUGAAAAGUACUUUACAACCGAUGGUCACUAACCGAGCAAUCAUGCAUUGCGCUUGGGGCACUGAUAAACUAAAUUGUGUGUAACCCCAGGAGGGGGGUGAAAUCUGACCAUAACAGUCCGACAAGGAGAAUUUAGAUAAUGUAUGUAUGUAUGUAUGUAUGUAUUUAUGUAAAAAAAAAUAUUUAUAAUUGGUAUCACUUGUAUUUUUACGGACAGGUUAAAGCGGUUUUGUAAAGUGUUUUUCGAUAGGUUGAUUGUUUAUGUCGACAGGCUCGAGACAAAUCUGUGAUUUGUGGCAAUAAAGUAAUACAAUAAGAACUGAACUGUGCAUCACUACACUUAAACAAGUUAAUACUAGGUUUAAAACAUUUAAAAUAUAUUAUGGGAUUGUUGUUUUUUUAUUUUGCCCAUGAGUUCACUAUAUAGUGCACUACAUAGAAUUCCCUAAGAUAGUGAGUAGGGGGCAGGGAAUAAGUGGGUGAUUUCAGACACAAACACUAUCUUCUUCUCUUUCUUCUUCAUCAUUGCCUUUGCUGGCACAGGGCUACAUUUGUUGAUGCGUUACUGUCGAUCAGCUGUGAAUAGCGCCACCUUUGUCCUAAUGUGAGAGUACAAUUCAAACAAAACAGGGACCCAUUCAUACGAACAUUGUUCCAUAGCACUACUAGUGGUCAAAAUCUCCACAGGGCACCUUUAAGUAACAGUAUUACUUGAUAUAAUGAUUCCUCUUGCAUUCUUUUGUACUCCAACUAUACCCAA